UUGGCAACUCUCGAAUUAUCAUGCGACGUUAGUCCUUAGCACGGCAGUUUUGAUGCACCGAUGAAGUUAGAGAAUCAAUAAUCUGAUUGAGAUAUAUUUCGUGUGGCCUUAUCUCCUUGGAUAUGAACAAAUGUUUCUGACAAAAGUUACUUUUCCUUGUAGGUAACAGCAAGUUAAAAUUAUUCAAACGGGCAGGGCAAAAGGUGUCCCUCAACCUUAGAAUCAUCAAUUUCAACAUGAUUUAAAAGUUCCAACAACUCGAAAUUUCCUAAGGAGUCAUUUGGGCUGGGACCAGGGAGUAAAAAGAACCCCUCCCCCCCCUUCAUCUAUACUUCUUUUUCUCUCUCCAAUUUCACCUGAUGAGCCUAGUCGACGAAAGAGGACACUCAAAAAAUAAGAUUUAAAAAUGAAAAACAGCUUUGGCACAAAAUAUUUUGCCUAUAUAACUAUCAAGUUACGAUUUUUAACAAACAGAGCUCUAAAAGAGGGGACUGAAGAACAAGAUGCAUUAUUAGGGCAGUUUUUGAAGAAAUUGAGAUAUUAGAGGUAGAUCCUGCGAAAACUUCACGACUUCGAUCCAACUUCUAAGCAGCAUCAAAAAGUGAGUUUAAACUACCUCUCUGCUAUGAGGCUUUGUAGAAGUGUAAAUAAAUUUUCGGUCUAUCAAGUCUCAUAAUUUAAAAAUGAUAACUUUUCAUGUUUUUGAGCAAGACCAAUCUCAGGGAUAUCAAAUUUGUUAAUUAAUCACUGUGGUAUUCAAUUAUUGUUAUUUCGUAGUUUAUUAUUCUUUUUAUCCUGAGAUCAUCCUCUUCUGCUCAUUUUGAAAAUUCCACUCUUCAAAUUCGAAAAUUGAUAGAAAACAUUCUGGACUGAAAACAGCGAUUAAACAGCUUUGAGUUUCAAGUUGGUUUUAUUAUUAGGUAGUAGAACAGUAUAAUAAGUACAUACAUUGAGAGCAUAAUUCACAAUUGACAAGAUAAAUUUGUUCUUUCAAGUGACAAGCAAAAUU